UACGGAGGGUGCAAACGUUGCUCGGAAUUAUUGGGCGUAAAGCGCACGUAGGCGGCCUGUUAUGUCUGGUGUGAAAUCCCUCGGCUUAACUGAGGAAGUGCAUUGGAAACUGGCAGGCUCGAGUACAGAAGAGGAUCGCGGAAUUCCCGGUGUAGAGGUGAAAUUCGUAGAUAUCGGGAGGAACACCAGUGGCGAAGGCGGCGAUCUGGGCUGAUACUGACGCUGAGGUGCGAAAGCGUGGGGAGCAAACAGG
rnacentral:rRNA from 1 species